CAAAUACUCCCUCCAUCCGGAAAUACUUGUCAUCAAAAUGGAUAAAAGGAAAUGUAUCUAGACGUAUUUUAGUUUUAGAUACAUCUCUUUUUAUCCAUUUUGAUGACAAGUAUUUUCAGACGGAGGGAGUAGAAA
rnacentral:pre_miRNA from 1 species